CUAGCCCUCACUGGAGUCUGGUUAUUUUGCAAACAGUGUCCUAUGUCUGGAAUAAGAAGAGCUGAGGAAUGAGGAAGAGCCUAAAUAACAGAUAAGGCACUCAGAAAGUCCUGCUGCUUUACAUCAAAUCAUUUUCUCAGUGCCAGUCUGUCACAUCGUUGCUGUGUUCAUGGGUGAGUCAACACUGAGGACACUCCUGACACUUUCAACCCUACACUACCUGACAUUGUCA
rnacentral:lncRNA from 12 species